rnacentral:rRNA from 1 species
GAGUUUGAUCGUGGCUCAGGACGAACGCUGGCGGCGCGCCUAACACAUGCAAGUCGAACGAGCAAGAGAGAGCUUGCUUUCUCGAGCGAGUGGCGAACGGGUGAGUAACGCGUGAGGAACCUGCCUCAAAGAGGGGGACAACAGUUGGAAACGACUGCUAAUACCGCAUAAGCCCACGACCCGGCAUCGGGUUGAGGGAAAAGGAGCAAUCCGCUUUGAGAUGGCCUCGCGUCCGAUUAGCUAGUUGGUGAGGUAACGGCCCACCAAGGCGACGAUCGGUAGCCGGACUGAGAGGUUGAACGGCCACAUUGGGACUGAGACACGGCCCAGACUCCUACGGGAGGCAGCAGUGGGGAAUAUUGCACAAUGGGCGCAAGCCUGAUGCAGCAACGCCGCGUGAAGGAAGACGGUCUUCGGAUUGUAAACUUCUGUUCUUAGUGAAGAAUAAUGACGGUAGCUAAGGAGCAAGCCACGGCUAACUACGUG